rnacentral:ncRNA from 1 species
CCCGCUGAAUUUAAGCAUAUCAUUCAGUUGAGGAAAAGAAAAUAACAAUGAUCCCCAUAGUGACGGUAAGCGAAGCAGGAAGAGCUAGGUGAAAGCUGAAAGCUUCGACUCCCCUUUGGGCCUCACGAGUUAUUGGCUUUUGAGGGGUGGCCAGUGGGGUGGCAGGUCUACUUGGCUUGGAACAGGACUUCAUAGACGGGGGACAGUCCUGUCCUUCGUCCUGUUUGUUGCUUCCCACGUACGGUUACGUACUUUUAUUGAGUUGCCUUCACUCGGAUUUGAGCGCAAAAUGCGUGGUAAGUUUAGCAUAAAGCUAAAUAUUGGCGUGGGACCGAUAGGGAAAAAGCGCUGGGAAGGCAAAAAAGGAAAGGACUUUGGAAAGAGAGUUAAAAGUAUCUGAAGUUGGUGAAGCGGAAAUGAUUGAAACUUUUGUCCGAAGCGACACUUUAGCUGCAGGACUUUCGGGGCUUUACUGCCUCCGGUUUUCGCCGGAGGGAAUCAGGACAAUAUUCCUCAACCAGGACGUGGAUAAUGUAGAGUAACUUUGGCGAACUCCUCGACGCGUUCGGGUGCCCGGGGAAUCGUUGCCUUUGAUCCUUAAAUGCCUCUUUACGAACGCACUCUGGAAUCAUAUUUCCUGGAGAUGGAG